rnacentral:rRNA from 1 species
UACGAACUGUGCAAACGUUAUUCGGAAUCACUGGGCUUAAAGGGUGCGUAGGCGGCUAUUUAAGUAGGGUGUGAAAGCCCCCGGCUCAACCGGGGAAUUGCGUCCUAAACUGGAUAGCUCGAGUGAGAUAGAGGUGUGCGGAACUUCCGGUGGAGCGGUGAAAUGUGUUGAUAUCGGAAGGAACGCCGGUGGCGAAAGCGGCACACUGGGUCUCAACUGACACUGAGGCACGAAAGCCAGGGGAGCGAACGGG